CCAAUAGCGUAUAUUAAAGUUGUUGCAGUUAAAAAGCUCGUAGUUGAAUUUCGGGAUCAGUACGCUGGUCAUGCCUUUGGUAUGCACUGGUGUCACUGGUUUCUCCCUUCUGAAGAACCGUGAUGUCAUUAAUUUGGUGUCGCGGGGAAUCAGGACUGUUACUUUGAAAAAAUUAGAGUGUUUAAAGCAGGCUUACGCUU
rnacentral:rRNA from 1 species